GCCAGUGUUGUGUAGUGGUUUGUGCAUUGGACUAUAACUCUGGAGACCAGGGUUCAAAUCCCAGCCCAGCCA